AGUACAAGAUAUUCUGGCGCCUACAAGGACGUGCGAGACGACUACGGAUGGAUUGAGCCCACGAACAUUUUGUUCACGGUGGAGGACGUCAACGACAACCCGCCGGAAUGGCAAGACCUUUCGCCGACAACAAGGUCGAAGGUGAAGCGAGACGAUCGCGCCCGACACUCUGGUUUUCGAUGCGUAUGCCACCGAUCCUGACUUAGGCCUUGGAGGCCAAGUCGUCUACUCUCUCGCCGAUAAAACGUUAGCGGAAGGAUAUUUCGAGGGGAGGACGACGAGACCAGACAACGUGGUAUAUCCUAACGGAAUCUUUGAGGUCUACGUCGUGAAGCCACUCGACUAUCAGGAGAAAGCCAUCCACGAAGUGCUGAUCGUUGCUACGGACGGAGGCGGAGAUCCGGGCUACGAACCGAUACUGAGCACGACCGUUCCCAUCUACGUGAACGUGCUCGACGUUCCGAACAAACCACCGCUGUUCAUCAAGGUUCCCUACAACGUCUACAUGGAGGAACACCUGGACGUGGUCAGUGU